rnacentral:lncRNA from 1 species
GAAAGGAUAAAUUAUAAAACAAGAAGCAAAUGGAGAAGGAACUGACUGGAAUCACUCCAAAUUGAUAACAGAAUUUUUUUCCAAAAAAAUCACAUUGUUCCUCAUCGCACAUGGAGGCAGAUUUAUAUAAGGCAUACAAAAGUCUUCAAAAUUGAAUUACACAAAAAAAAAAUAAUAAUAAAUAAAUAAAAAUACUAAACUAAACGACACAGUCUCACUUAAUGAUCAAACGACAUAGUUCCAAUUUCAAAAAUUAAUUGCCCGUUUUUUCUUCUUUUUCCCUGACUUCUGGUUUGGCUUUCUUCUUCUGUUGUUUGAUUGAUCUGCUUCCUUUCUUUCCCCAGCUAUUACCUACUUAACAAUCCUCCCUCUCACCUUAAUCUUGUCCCCAAGAUCUAUAUCUAGGAAAUUUAGCUUUAACCCAUUCUGCAUCCUCCUAGGUUGUACUGUCAAGUUGACAGUCUAACCAAUGAAUCAACUAUUGUAGUGCUGUGCGGUUUCUGCGGUUUACCAGUCUGGAUUGUAGGAUGGACAGUAGGUAGGUGUCAGGUUGUUGAGGCUGGCUGUGUUCAGGCAACUGUAGUACGGGCAUAUGCUUAUCACCUAACUUUCUCUUCAGCAAAAACACAUGAAACAAAUGGUGUAUCUUUGAUCAUUCUGGUAGUGCUAACUGAUAGGCAAUUGUCCCUAUCUUUUUAGCAAUUUGAUAGCGACCAAAGUACCUAGCACAUGGUUGCGAAUACGUCUAAACUCCACAGAGUGUUGUACAUAGGGAUGUAAUUUCAGGAAGACCCAAUCUCCCUCAUCAAAACUUCUUUCAAUCAUUUUCUUGUCAGCAUAAUGUUUCAUACGUGCUCUAGCCUGGGAUAAAUUCUCUUUCAAUUGAUGAUCCAGUUUAUACAUUUCCUGCAACAGUUUUUCUAUAGCUGCCAACAUUAGAUUGCAGGUAAGGUCCUAGUGCCAACUGAGGUGGUUUAAUUCCACAAAGAGCCUCAAAUGGGGUCAUCCCUAUGGCAGAGUGAAAGGAGGUGUUGCAGCACCAUUUGGCUAAAGCCAACCACUUUUCCCAUUGCUUUGGUUGCUGAUGUGUCAUGCACCUUAGGUACAUUUCUAGGCAUUGGUUGAGCCUUUCAGUUUGCCCAUCCGACUGUGGGUGGUAAGCAAAGCUGAGGUGCAGUUUAGAACCCAUCAAGGUAAAUAACUCUUUCCAGAAUUUGCUAGUGAAUACUUGUCUCUAUCAGAGACGAUGCUUUGAGACAUUCCAUGUAAUUUGUAUACACUGUCAAGGAAGAGCUUGGCUACUGUCACGGCUGAAAAAGGGUGAGAGAGGGCAAGAAAAUGCCCAUACUUAAAUAACCUGUUUACUAUCACCAAAAUAGUGUUCUUUCCACUUGAAUUGGGUAACCCCUCAAUAAAAUCCAUUAAUAUAUGGCUCCAGGAAUGCAGUGGUUCAAGCAAGGGUGCCGCAAUUCGGGGUAAGGAACAUGCUCUCUCCUUUACACCAUUGGCACACUUCACAUUUUAGCACCUCUUCCUUGAUAUCUUGAUUCAUCUUUGGCCAGUAAAAAUGUUGCUUGGCCCCAUAGAUGUUGUUGUGAAUACCCGAGUAGCCUCCAUUUGAGAACCAUUUAUGUUUUGAAUCUGCUUUGCCUUAAUGUCUCCCCCUAUUCCGAUACAAAUCUUAUCCUUGUACUUUAACAGGCCAUUGACAUAGGUGAAUGAAGGAUCUGCCUCAGGGUGUAGCAACAGAGGUUGAAAUUUUCUACGCAACUAUCCUAUUCCCUUUGUAGCUUUCUAUAACUUCUUGAAGCCAUGCAGGUGUGACAAUUGAAAUUCCGAUUGUCAAUCCUUCUCUUGUAGACUAUUUCAUAACUGAGGCCAAGUAACUUGGUGAGCCACAUUUGCUAUAGGUGAGCAGUGAUUCUUUGCUCUAAUAAGUACUUUAAAGACCGAUGAUCAAUCUUAAUGAUAAAAUGAUGACCCUCCAAAUAGUGUCUCCACUUGCCCACUGCUGUCAUCAAAGCUAGUAAUUCCAUUUCAUAUAUGGACAUUCCCAUGUUCCUUACGCCAAUAGAUUUGCUCAAAUAGGCCAAGGGCCUUUUGCCUUGCAUCAACACAGUUCCAAUCCCCUUUUGGCAAGCAUCAGUCUCGAUGACCAAAAGGUUGACUGAAAUCAUGGAGGGUAAGUAUAGGUGUUGUACUCAUUGCUUGUUUUAAUUGUUCAAAUGCUGCCUCUGUCCAGUGGAAGUUAUCCUUUUUAAGGAGGUCUGUCAAGGGUCUUGCAAUCAUUCCAUACCCUUUUACGAACUUUCUAACCAGUCGGGAAACCUCUAAAUUGUUUAAGGUUCUUGGGUUUAGGCCAAGAUCUCAUUACCUCAACUUUAUUUGGGUUACUUUAUACCCUUUCUUUACUGAUUAUGUGACCCAGAUAUUCUACUUGUUGCUGCCCAAAACUACACUUGGAUGCCUUAGCAAAUAAUUGGUGCUUCUGUAAGAUCCCUAUGACAAUCCCCAGGUGCUGGCAGUGGGUAAUCUCAUCAGUACUAUAUGCCAAGAUGUCAUAGAAAAAUACUAAAACGUAUUUCCUUAGCUGCUCUUUGAAUACCUCAUUCAUAAGGCUCUGAAAUGUAGCUGGUGCAUUGGUAGGACCAAAUAGCAUUACCUUGAACUCAUAGAGACCUUGAUGAGUCUUAAACGCAGUCUUGGGAAUGUCUUUCUCCUUGACCCUAAUUUGGUGGUACCCUGCCCUAAGAUCUAUCUUCAAAAAAUACUUGGAUCCUUGAAGUUCAUUCAGAAGUUCAUCUAUGAGAGGCAUUUGAAACUUAUCCUUUACUAUCAGGCUAUUUAAUUGCCUAUAAUCCACACAAAAUCUCUAUGAACCAUCUUUCUUUUUAACUAGAAGAACAGGGGAUGCAGAAGGGCCAUUACUAGCCUGAAAUAUCUCACUAUCCAUCAUUUCUUGCACCAAUUUCUUUAUCUUUGAUUUUUGAAUGAAAGGACGUCUGUAAGGUCUGAUUUUAAAGGAUUGAGCCCCUUCUUUUAGAGGAAUAUGAGGGUUAUGAGACCUAGGGGAAAGCAGCCCUCUAGGUUCCUCACACACCCUGGGAAACUGCUUAAGAACCUCUUGUAAAUUAUUGGGGGUUUCUCUUCUUUUGUCAUCUCUGACAUAAUAUAAUUGCCCUACCAUUCCAUAAGAGCUCUUGUCAAAUAGCCUUUCUUUUCCCUUCAAUUCCAGCACCUGUGUAUUUUGAUCUGUCCCUUCACUUUUCAAUUCCACAUCUCCAUCUUUCCCUUUGAACUUAAUGCACCCCUAUAUGAAAUCAAACAUUAUAGGGCCAAAUUGGCUUAUCCAGUUAACUCCUAGAACCAUAUCAUUUCCUACUAGUUUGAGUGUUCUCAACUUAUACUGGAAUUCUCAUCCUUGCACCUUCCAAAUCAAGGGAUGUUUUAUAGCUUUGCUUUCCAAUUGGUCUCUAUUAGCCACCCUUACUAUGACCACACUAGAAUCAUCGGUUCCGCAUUUCAGUUCCCUGGCUAAUUUCUCAUCCACGAAGCUGUGUGUGCUUCCACUGUCAACGAGGAUAGAUACACUCCUACGUUUGAUUAUCCCGGGGAUCCUUAUAGUUUUAUAUCUUAAAACUCCAGGUGUAGCACUGAUGGAUAUCUUCAUAAUUUCCUCACCUUCUGAUUUUCCUUCAGGUUCAAGAACAUUAUCCUCCUAUUUACCAUCGUCCUCCUUUUGAUCCACUAGAAUAAAAUUUAUGGAUCUAUUUUUGCAAACAUGGCCUGUAAUGUACUUUUCAUCACAUUUAUUGCAUAUCCCAAGAUUUCUCUUUUUUUGGAAAUCAGUUGGUGUGAUAGUUUUAUGGUUGUUGGCAGUUUUGCUAGCCUUUGGCCAUGGCUCCUUGGUUCUGGUUUCAUCAGGGGGUUUGGAAGGAUAGGGAUUCCAUCUACUGUGGUUAGGUACAAAACUUUUGGGUUUUUGAAACUUGUUAAUGGCUAGGAUUGUGGACUCUUGAAGGCUGGCUAUUUCAAAAGCUUUAGCCAAGGUGUCAGGCUUCAUCAUUUUCACCAUAGAUCUUAUUUUCCCUUUUAACCCGCUAAUAAACACAUAGAUGUAAUAAGAUUCAGGGACAUGAGGUAGGGUUAGUAUCACCCGAGCCUUCAACUCUUCAAACCUUUCCUAGUAUUCCACAAUUGAUCCCACCUGCUUUAUCUUUCUAAAGGCCUCAAUUACUUCCUCUCCAUUGCUAUCAGCAAACCUUCGGCACAAUUUCUCAGAGAAUACUCCCUAGUCUGCAUUAGGAUGGCUAGCAAUGAAGCCAUCAAACUAUAGGUCUGCCUUGCCCUUUAAAUACAUUUUAGCAAUGCCCAAUUUCAUCUCAUCUAGGAUUUGAUGAAGUUGAAAGUACUUCCUUGCCUCCUAAGCCAUUCCCUAGGCCCUUCUCCUCGAAAGUGAGGAAAGUCAAUUUUAGGGAGUUUAG